GCAGUAUUUUAGUUCAUUAUGCAGGUGCCAACCCUAGAAUUUUCUUUAUAUACGGAAUCCACUCUUCUCUGGCCGCAAACAAGCCUCUGGCUUCAAGUUUCUUAUAGGUCUGGAAAUUGAAUAAGUCUAUAGAUGGUAGAUUGUAAACGAAGUAAUGACUCGCGGUGAAUACCACAAUUCAUGAUGCAGCUCAGUAUUUUAAUACUGCUUCUACUGUCUUAGUUUGUGUCUUGUCUUUUGAACUGGAUUUGCUCACUUGAAAUGUGUUUUUGAAGAUUUACAAAAGUCAAGCCAGAAAAUCCAGUUCAAAAGCCAAAACCGGGCUGAGAUUUACGAGUCUGAUAUAUAUAUUGGGAGGUAUUUGCGUUAAAACUAAUUCAGGUAAGUUUCUUUUUUUUUUCUGGUAUUUAUGUAUGCAUGAGUGCGUGCAUGUAUUUAUGUAUGUAUUUGUUAAUUACUCUCUCAAGGUGAAGCCUCCUUUAGCCCAAUUAAACACUUUUUCUCUUUAAA